UUAAAUGAUGAUAAAAAUAACACAGACCUGUACUGAUUCUAUUUAAAUAGAUACAUGCAGAUAAAAUUAUUGCCUUUUCUGACA
rnacentral:snoRNA from 1 species